CAUGUCACCUUACUCUUCGACAGUGAUGGUAUGGAACCAUAAGAAUUUUGGGGUUGCCUUGAAAAGAUUACCGAUGGCAUUGGAAAUGCAAAGUUUGAUCCUUUGUUUUACUUCAUGCAAAGUUUGCUUUGCUUACCUCAUGCAAAUGUCGAUGUUGAAAGAGUGUUUUCGUCAGUCAGCUCAAUCAAGACCAAGAGCAAAAAUCGAUUGCAAACUGCAACUGUCCAGCAUUGAUAAAGGUAAAAAACGGUGUUAAGUUGUCUGGUGGUAGCGUAAAGUUUUCACCCCCACUUGAAGCUAAACAAAGGAUAUCAAGCAGCAGUCUUUGUGCUGACAAGAACAACGAGGACUCGACUGACAGCAGUUAAAAACGUUCAUUCAUCACUAUCUACACUGACACACGAUAUCUGGCUGCUCAAUGGCGGCGUGGUUUUAUUCAUCUGCAAAAGAAGAAAAACUAUGUUAAAUUACUCAUUCAGUUUAAUUAAAUAAUUGAUUAUGGCUUUAUGGAUUUGUAGGGUUUUUUACUGUUGUGAAUAGUUUAAUAAGAAUAUUAUUCUAACCAUGA